AUGAAUAUCAUCAUUCCUCCCAAGGAUAUGAGGCAUACUCCGCCCAGGGCAAAUGUCUCCAUGGAGGGCUGCCUUUCAUCUGCAGAAAAUUCGCACCAUAUGUUUUCAAAAGGGAACCCCAUGUCUGCAUGGACACAAUUUUACUCUUCUCUUUGGAAGUCAGUGUUUCAGUGUGUCAUAACAAGGUCUCCAUCAUGAUGAAGGUAAAGCCUACAAUCUGCCAGGGUAAAUCAGCACCGCUGGAGCUAAAAGGACAGUCUGCUUUCAAAUGCAAAGAGCCAUCACUUCCAUUAAUCUGAAAUCCCUUUCCUCUUUAAAUAGGAGCAUUAUCUUUUAAAAACUGUAGCUAUCAAACUGGAGGGAUAAGUGAGCAGAAUGAUGUGAAGUGGGAAUGCAGUUCACAACACCUCGAUGAGGUACGUAAAUAUCAUUUAUGUUUUACAUAUGGGGAUCUUGAAGAAGAGCAACGAAAUGACUGGCUCAAGGCUAGAGAGGAUUUUGAUAUUAGCACUUUGUUGAGAAAUCAGAGUUCCCAGUUUAGUGCUCAUACUAUUAGAUCACAUCUUUCCUUCUGUGAGAAAAAUAACUAGUUAAAAUAAUUUUGUAGAUAAUAGCUGCCAUGUCCCCCUCACAAGCUACUAGCAAACAGUAGAUGUGGCUGCAUCCUGAUUUUUUUUUUUAAGGGGACGAGACCUGUAUGGAGUCUACAAGGGGACAGGCUAUUUUAUAAAUAGGACCAAACAAAACCCAGUAGAGACAGAAACAAAAUUGCCCUGCAGUAAAGCAUCCUCCUCCCGCACUAGGUGUUACAUUAAAAAAAAAAUCUGGGAAACAAUAAACAAACAACAGUGGAAAUACA
rnacentral:lncRNA from 1 species